GAAGUAAAAGUCGUAACAAGGUCUCCGUUGGUGAACCAGCGGAGGGAUCAUUACAGAGUUCUAAAAGACUCCCAAAACCAUUGUGAACGUACCCGUCAGCGUUGCCUCGGCGGGCGGCCCCUCCCUGGGGCCGCUGCCUCCCUCGGGGGGUGCCCGCCGGCGUACCAAAACUCUUUUGUAUUUUAGUGGCCUCUCUGAGAAAACAAGCAAAUAAGUUAAAACUUUCAACAACGGAUCUCUUGGUUCUGGCAUCGAUGAAGAACGCAGCGAAAUGCGAUAAGUAAUGUGAAUUGCAGAAUUCAGUGAAUCAUCGAAUCUUUGAACGCACAUUGCGCCCGCCAGUACUCUGGCGGGCAUGCCUGUUCGAGCGUCAUUUCAACCCUCAAGCCCUGCUUGGUGUUGGGGUCCUACGGCUGCCGUAGGCCCUGAAAGCUAGUGGCGGGCUCGCUAUAACUCCGAGCGUAGUAGUAAAAUAUCUCGCUAGGGAGGUGUCGCGGGUUCCGGCCGUGAAAGCCCAUCUUUUACACAAGGUUGACCUCGGAUCAGGUAGGAAUACCCGCUGAACUUAAGC
rnacentral:rRNA from 1 species